rnacentral:rRNA from 1 species
AAUUUUGGACAAUGGAGGCAACUCUGAACCAGCCACGUCGCGUGAAGGAAGACGGCCCUACGGGUUGUAAACUUCUUUUGUAAGGGAAUAAAGUGAGUCACGUGUGACUUUUUGCAUGUACCUUACGAAUAAGUAUCGGCUAACUCCGUGCAAGCAGCAGCGGUAAUACGGAGGUUCCGCGCGUUAUGCGGCUUUAUUGGGUUUAAAGGGCGCGCAGGCGAGAGAUUAAGUCGGUGGUGAAAUUUUGCAGCUCAACUGUAACAGUGCCAUUGAUACUGGUUUCCUUGAGUGUGGAUGAAGUAGGCGGAAUUUGUGGUGUAGCGGUGAAAUGCAUAGAUAUCACGAGGAACUCCGAUCGCGUAGGCAGCUUACUAAACCAUAACUGACGCUCAUGCACGAAGGCGUGGGGAUCAAACA